UAAGAAUGUACAAUUAAACUUUAGGGUAGUAUUAGAUAUGAGCUUGAAACCUAAAAAAUUUGGCGGUAUUUUAGUCUAUUCAGAGGAACCUGUCCUAUAAUCGAUAAUCCACGAUGGACCUAACUUAAAUUAGUUUUCAGUUUAUAUACCGUCGUUAUCAGAAUAUUUUAAAAGAAUAAUAAUUUUCUUAAAUUUUUAUUAAAAUGUAUAUCAGAUCAAGGUGUAGCUUAUAUUUAAGAAGUGAUGGGUUACAAUAAAAUUAUUUAUAUGGAUAUAAGAAUGAAAAUCUUAUUGAAAGUGGAUUUGAUAGUAAAAUUAUAUAGAUUAGUAAUUUGAUUUUAGCUCUAAAAUAUGC
rnacentral:rRNA from 1 species